rnacentral:lncRNA from 1 species
GAUGGAUCAAGAUUGUUUUUAGGAAGGGGAAUGGUGGAUGUAUUUAUAGGCUAAGGAGAGGACCACUUCAAUUCCUUGCAUGUGCAGUUUGUAUGGGUGUGUGAUGUCCAUGUUUCCCUUUACAUUUGCACACACAUGACCUCCAUCAUUUCAGCCACAAAUCAACCCAUUUUUUGCCCAUGUGUGUGUGUUUCCUUUGCCCAUGUGUGUGUGUUUUUCCUUUGCAUUUGCACACACAUAGUCUUCAUUAUUUCAGCCAACAAUCCACCCAUUUUCUGCCCAUGUCAAACUGUCCAUGCCAUGCCUUUCUCUUUGUGUGUGUGCUGUCCAUGUUUCUUCCAUGUGCCUUGUUCAUCUUCUAGCUGUGCAUUUCCACUUGCUCCAAAGCCAAAUGAGUGCAAUCAUAACCCCAUUUGCUGCUGAGUGUUGAUGACAAAGCAAAACACAAAACAAGUGCCUUUACUUUCUCACUUUAUUAGCCAAAUCUGCUUAGCCCUUUUCUGAACCUUUUAGUGUUACAAUGCUCAUAACUUCUUCUAGAAAAAUGAUAUUAACAAUCCGUAAAUUACACCAGAAAAUAGACAUCCGUAGCUUUCCAAGCAUAUAAGGCUCAUUCUCUCAUUCAUUCUGAGCUGUUUGUAACAUGCUUCCAAAGUCAGCUAAUCUGCACAGGCAGUUUUGACGAAUUUGUUACUUAAUAACUCACUUGUGCUACUUUUCUUUUCUUUGCUUGAUAAAUCACACAAAACACAAAAACAUAGUAAAUAGCUCAAAAAUAUAAGGAACUAACUAAGAAAAGACAAGUGAAUUUUAUGUAAAAUAUAUAUAAAUAUGAGCUUAUCAGUCUUUCACCCCCUUCAUUCACCCUAAUUUCAUAUCAAUUAGUUUGUUUAUUGCAAGUUACUUAGUUUUAGAAUUUGUCCAAAUCACCCUUUAGUUCCUGUUUUGAGUCAAUUUGUUUGUUUUGUGCUCUUUGGAGUCAGUUUGGUCAGUUUUGAGUCAUCGGAGUCUUGUUUUUUGUUUUUUAGUUAAAAUUGUGUAGAUUAGCAUCCCUUUGUUGGAAAUAUGCCCUGAAAGUCAAUCUUUGGAAGAAACCUUUCAGGACAAAUGAAUUGAUGUAUGGAUGAUUCUUGUACAUCAAAUGGCAAAGACACGAAUUAGGACUAUCUCAAUAAACGAUAUAUGUCCUAAAUAGUGUAUCCAUGGACAGUGGAUCGAUUGAAGAAGUAAUCUAAUGAUGUUAGACUACAGAGACCUUCUUCACAUAACCAAAUGUCCAAAAAGGUUCCUGGUCGUUGGAUUGUCGGAGGGAUACUGACAAUGCGUAGACCGGUACAUACUGUGUCUGCUUCAAUUGGAAGGAUGGAAAGUCUCAUCCCAUUCGUGUUGUGACACUAAGACAAGUAUGUAGGUGCUCAUUAGGGGAAUGAGUUCACUGAACGCAAUCGAACGAGAGUACUUGCAUGGAGGUCUACUCACAUGUCAAGCAAGUAACUCUAAUGGUUGGAAAGAUGUAAGUAAUGAAGGAUUUAUUUUGAAAAACAUGUUCAUUUGAGCAACAUCAUAUAGCAUGCAAUUAACAAUUAAAGGCGGAAUCAUGCUUACAUGCACUCAAAUACAAAACAUUUACCCAUGAAAUUCAAAGCCUAGUAGAUUUGUGAACCAAUAAUCAACUCAAAAAACAAAGUGAGUUGAAAUUAAUACCUUUGUAGAUUCCUCUUUGCAUAAGCAAAGGCUAAUCACCCAAAG